UCAGGAUGAACGCUAGCUACAGGCUUAACACAUGCAAGUCGAGGGGUAACAUGAUUGGAGCUUGCUCCGAUUGAUGACGACCGGCGCACGGGUGAGUAACGCGUAUCCAACCUGCCCCAUGCUCAGGGAUAACCUUCCGAAAGGGAGCCUAAUACCUGAUGUUGUGCGACGAUGGCAUCAGAAUUGCACUAAAGAUUCAUCGGCAUGGGAUGGGGAUGCGUCUGAUUAGCUUGCCGGCGGGGUAACGGCCCACCGGGGCUACGAUCAGUAGGGGUUCUGAGAGGAAGGUCCCCCACACUGGUACUGAGACACGGACCAGACUCCUACGGGAGGCAGCAGUGAGGAAUAUUGGUCAAUGGGCGGGAGCCUGAACCAGCCAAGUAGCGUGCCAGGAAGACGGCCCUACGGGUUGUAAACUGCUUUUAUGAGGGGAUAAAGUGGGCUACGUGUAGCUUAUUGCAGGUACCUCAUGAAUAAGGACCGGCUAAUUCCGUGCCAGCCGCUGC
rnacentral:rRNA from 1 species